GACGAACGCUGGCGGCGUGCUUAACACAUGCAAGUCGAACGGAAAGGCCCUGCUUGCAGGGUGCUCGAGUGGCGAACGGGUGAGUAACACGUGGGUGAUCUGCCCCUUACUUUGGGAUAAGCCUGGGAAACUGGGUCUAAUACUGGAUAGGACCAUGCUGUAGGUGGUGUGGUGGAAAGAUUAGUUUCGGUAAGGGACGAGCUCGCGGCCUAUCAGCUUGUUGGUGGGGUAAUGGCCUACCAAGGCGUCGACGGGUAGCCGGCCUGAGAGGGUGGACGGCCACAUUGGGACUGAGAUACGGCCCAGACUCCUACGGGAGGCAGCAGUGGGGAAUAUUGCACAAUGGGCGCAAGCCUGAUGCAGCGACGCCGCGUGGGGGAUGACGGCCUUCGGGUUGUAAACUCCUUUCAGCCAUGACGAAGCCCUUGUGGUGACGGUAGUGGUAGAAGAAGCACCGGCUAACUACGUG
rnacentral:rRNA from 1 species